CUUGCUCUUUCUGAUCAGUGGCGAACGGGUGAGUAACACGUGAGCAACCUGCCCCUGACUCUGGGAUAACCCCGAGAAAUCGGAGCUAAUACCGGAUACGAGACGCACAGGCAUCUGUAGCGUCUGGAAAGAUUUAUCGGUCAGGGAUGGGCUCGCGGCCUAUCAGCUAGUUGGUGAGGUAGUGGCUCACCAAGGCGACGACGGGUAGCCGGCCUGAGAGGGCGACCGGCCACACUGGGACUGAGACACGGCCCAGACUCCUACGGGAGGCAGCAGUGGGGAAUAUUGCACAAUGGGCGCAAGCCUGAUGCAGCGACGCCGCGUGGGGGAUGAAGGCCUUCGGGUUGUAAACCCCUUUCAGCAGGGAAGAAGCGAAAGUGACGGUACCUGCAGAAGAAGCGCCGGCUAACUACGUGCCAGCAGCCGCGGUAAUACGUAGGGCGCAAGCGUUGUCCGGAAUUAUUGGGCGUAAAGAGCUCGUAGGUGGUUUGUCGCGUCUGCUGUGAAAACCCGAGGCUCAACCUCGGGCUUGCAGUGGGUACGGGCAGACUAGAGUGCGGUAGGGGAGACUGGAAUUCCUGGUGUAGCGGUGGAAUGCGCAGAUAUCAGGAGGAACACCGAUGGCGAAGGCAGGUCUCUGGGCCGCAACUGACACUGAGGAGCGAAAGCAUGGGGAGCGAACAGGAUUAGAUACCCUGGUAGUCCAUGCCGUAAACGUUGGGCACUAGGUGUGGGGCUCAUUCCACGAGUUCCGUGCCGCAGCUAACGCAUUAAGUGCCCCGCCUGGGGAGUACGGCCGCAAGGCUAAAACUCAAAGGAAUUGACGGGGGGCCCGCACAAGCGGCGGAGCAUGCGGAUUAAUUCGAUGCAACGCGAAGAACCUUACCAAGGCUUGACAUAUACCGAAAACUCGUGGAGACACGGGGGUCCGCAAGGGCGGUAUACAGGUGGUGCAUGGUUGUCGUCAG
rnacentral:rRNA from 1 species